rnacentral:rRNA from 1 species
UACAGAGGUCUCAAGCGUUGUUCGGAUUCAUUGGGCGUAAAGGGUGCGUAGGCGGCGCGGUAAGUCGGGUGUGAAAUCUCGGAGCUUAACUCCGAAACUGCAUUCGAUACUGCCGUGCUUGAGGACUGGAGAGGAGACUGGAAUUUACGGUGUAGCGGUGAAAUUCGUAGAUAUCGUAAGGAAGACCAGUGGCGAAGGCGGGUCUCUGGACAGUUCCUGACGCUGAGGCACGAAGGUCAGGGGAGCAAACGGG